GUCAGGAUGGCCGAGCGGUCUAAGGCGCUGCGUUCAGGUCGCAGUGUCCUCUGGAGGCGUGGGUUCAAAUCCCACUUCUGACA